rnacentral:rRNA from 1 species
UACGUAGGGGGCAAGCGUUGUCCGGAUUUAUUGGGCGUAAAGAGCGUGUAGGCGGCCAGAUAGGUCCGUUGUGAAAACUGGAGGCUUAACCUCCAGACGUCGAUGGAAACCGUAUGGCUAGAGUCCGGAAGAGGAGAGUGGAAUUCCUGGUGUAGCGGUGAAAUGCGCAGAUAUCAGGAAGAACACCCGUGGCGAAGGCGGCUCUCUGGGACGGUACUGACGCUGAGACGCGAAAGCGUGGGGAGCAAACAGG